UUGAACGCUGGCGGUAUGCUUAACACAUGCAAGUCGAACGGAAACGAUACUAGCUUGCUAGUAGGCGUCGAGUGGCGGACGGGUGAGUAACGCGUAGGAAUCUGCCUGAUAGUGGGGGACAGCCCGAAGAAAUUCGGAUUAAUACCGCAUAAUCUAUUCGUAGUAAAGUGGGGGACUUUCGAGCCUCACGCUAUCAGAUGAGCCUGCGUAAGAUUAGCUUGUUGGUAGGGUAAAAGCCUACCAAGGCGACGAUCUUUAGCUGGUCUGAGAGGAUGAUCAGCCACAUCGGGACUGAGACACGGCCCGAACUCCUACGGGAGGCAGCAGUGGGGAAUAUUGGACAAUGGGGGCAACCCUGAUCCAGCAAUACCGCGUGUGUGAAGAAGGCCUGAGGGUUGUAAAGCACUUUCAAUUGUGAAGAAAAGUUAGCGGUUAAUAACCGUUAGCCUUGACGUUAACUUUAGAAGAAGCACCGGCUAACUCCGUGCCAGCAGCCGCGGUAAUACGGAGGGUGCAAGCGUUAAUCGGAAUUACUGGGCGUAAAGCGUGCGUAGGCGGUUUAUUAAGUCAGAUGUGAAAGCCCCGGGCUUAACCUGGGAACUGCAUUUGAAACUGGUCAACUAGAGUAUGGUAGAGGAAAGUGGAAUUUCUGGUGUAGCGGUGAAAUGCGUAGAUAUCAGAAGGAACAUCAAUGGCGAAGGCAGCUUUCUAGACCAAUACUGACGCUGAGGUACGAAAGCGUGGGUAGCAAACAGGAUUAGAUACCCUGGUAGUCCACGCCGUAAACGAUGAUAACUAGCCGUUGGGGGGAUUUACCCUUUAGUGGCGAAGCUAACGCGUUAAGUUAUCCGCCUGGGGAGUACGGCCGCAAGGUUAAAACUCAAAGGAAUUGACGGGGACCCGCACAAGCGGUGGAGCAUGUGGUUUAAUUCGAUGCAACGCGAAGAACCUUACCUGGUCUUGACAUCCUGCGAACUUUCUAGAAAUAGAUUGGUGCCUUCGGGAACGCAGUGACAGGUGCUGCAUGGCUGUCGUCAGCUCGUGUCGUGAGAUGUUGGGUUAAGUCCCGUAACGAGCGCAACCCCUAUCCUUAUUUGCCAGCACAUCAUGGUGGGAACUAUAAGGAGACUGCCGGUGAUAAACCGGAGGAAGGCGGGGACGACGUCAAGUCAUCAUGGCCCUUACGACCAGGGCUACACACGUGCUACAAUGGGAAGGACAAAGAGCCGCGAAGCCGCGAGGUGUAGCUAAUCUCAUAAACCUUUUCGUAGUCCGGAUUGGAGUCUGCAACUCGACUCCAUGAAGUCGGAAUCGCUAGUAAUCGUAGAUCAGAAUGCUACGGUGAAUACGUUCCCGGGUCUUGUACACACCGCCCGUCAAGGG
rnacentral:rRNA from 1 species